AUUGAACGCUGGCGGCAGGCCUAACACAUGCAAGUCGAACGAGUGGCGCACGGGUGAGUAAUGUCUGGGAAACUGCCCGAUGGAGGGGGAUAACUACUGGAAACGGUAGCUAAUACCGCAUACCAUCGGAUGUGCCCAGCUGGGAUUAGCUAGAAGGUGGGGUAACGGCUGACCUAGGCGCCGACCCGUUGCUGGUCUGAGAGGAUGACCUGCCACACUGGAACUGAUACACGGUCCAGAUUCCUACGGGAGGGAGCAGUGGGGAAUAUUGCACAAUGGGCUCAAGCCUGAUGCAGCCAUGCCGCGUGUAUGAAGAAGGCCGUCGGGUUGUAAAGUACUUUCAGCGAGGAGGCGUUACUCGCAGAAGAAGCACCGGCUAACUCCGUGCCAGCAGCCGCGGUAAUAC
rnacentral:rRNA from 1 species